AAGGCAUAAACCUAUCAAGUCCUCAACCAUAAUAGAACAACAUGCAAAUUACAGACGUGAUUGUGGUACAUUGCCACUGGUACCAUUGCUUAGAAAAGGGUAAUCUGUGUAUCCUACAACAGGAUCAUGAGUAUAGAAGGUAGAUCUAUUAUACCUAAUCAAAGGAGCAUUUAGCUUAAAGCGUAAAACUAAGUCUGGAUUUGAGAUAAAAAGGCGACCAUAGGAAACCAAAUCAGCAUCACCCUGAGCUACCGCUUCAACUCCUAGCUCUCUGGUGAACCCACCACUGGAAAUGAAAGUUCCUUGAUAAGCUUUUCGCAAGGUCCUCACUAGUUGGGCUCCUCCUCUUCACUCCCCUGUCUGCCUGCCUCUGUCUGGCCAUACGCUGUAUAUCGAGGUUGAGUCACGUGCAAGUAUGUUAACUUGGAGCCUGAAUUCAGUUGGAGCUCGUUAAGUCUCUCAAUCACUGCCAGGCCUAAGCUUAGUGGAUCAGAGUCCAUGGCAUCAAGAUGGUCAAUAGCAGGGGAAAUUCUGACACCAACACGAUCUGCACCAAUUGCUGAAACAACAGCCUGAACCACCUGCACAAUGAAUUUGCAGCGAUUUGCAACAGAUCCACCAUAUUCAUCUGUCCGAUCAUUGAUCCCAUCUUUCAAGAACUGGUCAAUUAGGUAGCCAUGUGCUCCAUGGAUUUCAAUACCAUCAAAACCUGUUACAGUAAGAAAUCCUUUAAUCCAUCAACCUAAGAAACUCAUGGAAGAUAUAAUUAUAGAGUGCAGAAUAUAAUCAUGAAGAAUUGGUAUAGCAAAUCAUAGUUUUAACUUCAUCAAGGCCAACAGCAACGACAUAUGACAAUUUUUGUUUAUCACAGUUAGCUGAGAAAUUUCAAUUCUCUUGGGAUUCUCAAAUAUGAUAAAACAAUCAAAGGAACUGGAAUGCCAACUGCAGGCUGAACUGGAUUCCAUUCAGCAUUCCACAUUGCUGAUCUUUUAAGUUCAUGGUUACAUCCUUGUCAACUAAGUACUUUUAAUGAUAUUGAUCUAAUAAUUGAUUUACUACAAAUUGGCAAUUUUACUACUUUCUACCACAAACGAAAAACAGCCAGGAACACUACAUGAAUCCUCACAUAACCGGAGAGCUAAAAGGACCACCAUGGUAAAGUAUUGAUGUUACUGUGCAGUUAAUAUCCCAAGUAUGUCUUACGAGUAUUUUUUUUUCCCAUUUUGUGAAUUUCCAGCAGGGAAAUAUUAAAUAAAUAUAAUAUGUAAUGGAAAGGUCAUGCAGAACCAGACUCCAGUGAUUGUGAAGAUCCUACAAAGUAAGCACAUAGUAUUGUAAGAACCAAGCAAUGGCAGUCCAUUCACGGCAGCUCCUCCUCUACAUCAAAAUGCCAUAGCUUGGGGUGAUGGUGCCUUAGAAUCUCCUAGCAAUAUUCUCAUCAAGCUCAAGGAAGUGCUAAUGGAAAAAUCAAACCGAUUCAACAUACACAUGAUUGUCAAAAUAUGUAUAGAUAAACAAAAUGGACUGACCGGCUUCAAUGGCAUUCAAGGCUGACUGGCGGUAAUCUUCCACAACUUGCGCAAUCUCAUGCGCUGUUGUUAAUGGACGUGGUUUAGGGUAGAUCCCAUGGCUGCCAUCAGGCAUCAAUAUCCUCCACCUCUUUGAUAUAGGCUUUCCGUUGAUGAUAUGGGUGCACCACCACCAGGUUGAUAAACUGAUCAAGAAUAUUACAACCCAAGUAAGUAAAAGUGGAAUAAUCGCCUAAUUGUUAUUAAAGUGUCUAAGUAGUUUUGAAACGGUUCGAAUUUCAUUUGGUCUUGAACAUUGUGUUCAAUAAUUCUUCAAACCAGCAUAGUAGAAAAAAAAAUAAAAGUUCUCACAUUUUCGUUAUCAUACUCGAAUACAGCUGAAAUUUGUCUUAUAAAAUAAUUUAGCAUUAGCCAUUAAUUCUAGUCAAGUUUAGCUUUAUUUUAUACUAACACCACAAAAUUACACCUUCAUGUGAUGCACGGCCAACGUGCCACAGUUGACAGAAAAUAAUAGCACCCUUGGCAUGUACUGCAUCAACCACUUGCUUCCAUGCCUCCACUUGUUCCUUUGUAAAGAUCCCCGGCACAUGCGGAAACCUGGAUCCACAUCACAAACGUAAGAAAAGAAAUGUUUAUUCAGCUCAACUUUCCUCGCGUAGAAAUGAAAUAAAUAUCAUGCCAUGCAAAAGAUAACAACGAAAAUUAAAGGGAAAUGUGAAAUUUUAUCAGAAAAUAUUACACAACUCAUUUAUAUUUUCCUUCCUUUCGGCUAUACUAAGCUUCCAAAUCUACUGCGUUAUAUACCAAACUGCAGUGUAAGGAUCGAUUGGUUAGUGUAAAAAUGAUGUUCCAACUUUAUGAAGAAAAAAUAUCUAGCUCUAAUGGCUCCAAUUGUGCGAACAUUAAACAUAUGGAUCCCACUCAACUACAGUAAUACUUGUAGACAACGUUGUUUUUAUCAGAGAGGCCCUACGGUUUCAAAUAAUUGACCAAGUAGCAGUAAUAUACUUUUCCUAAUAAACAUCCAGAAAGCAUAAAGUACAGAAUUACCCGGCAGCACUUGGGGAGAUCAUGGUGCCCUCCGUGAUGAGAAAGCCACCAUUGGUUGCUCGGCGUAGUACGCCAUGGCAGGCUGAGGAAUGCUAUUUAUGGCCCUGCAUCUUGUCAUCGGCGCCAGAACCACCCUGCCAUCAUAUAUAUAAAUGGGGUAGCCCCAGAAAAACAGAAUAUGUCAUUAGUCAUGCAAAGGGACAAAUUAGUGUAAGAGAAAAAUGAAGACAAAAUUGGCAGCCCAAAAAUGAAAUUCUGCAGCUCCAGUACUAUAUUCCUUCACAGUCUGCAUCCAAUAGAAAGCGUAUCCUAAUUUAUAAUAAAUGGCAAUCACAAAUUACAAUCCCAUGACCCUGAAAUGCAAUCGGAGCCAUUUGAUCAUGCCCUUUAACCAACAAGGAUGCACCACGGAAGCAAGUUGCCUUAACAUUUUAUACAGGCUGAUAUAAAUUUAACAUAACAGCAGAUUAGAGGAGCUGCGAAAUAUCAGUUUUUUUUUAGGAAAAAGAAAAAACUAAUGUGUAUUUGGAGUGGGCACAUAAGGAUGGCAAUAGGGCGGGGGAGCUGCUCCCUUGUUAUAAACUCCCUCAUCCCUGCCCCCACCACGGCCCGCUUCCCCCACGGGUGUCCACAAGGGUGCCUCUUCUUCCCCCCCCCCCCACCCCACCCCACUCCUCUUCUAAAUCAUUCCAAAUUGCUGCACAAGAUAAAAAGAUUUCUUAAUGUUCCAUGUCUAUGCUUCUUGAGGGAUAAGAUGUUUGUAGUUGAAUAAGGGGCAUUAUGAAGCGAUUAUCAAAAAGAAUCAUCUUUGGUUACAGUUCUUGUUUGUAUGUUGAUGGCCGGAUUAUUAGAAAUGGAGGAAACAACUGUGGAAAAACUCAAAACUUUCUCUAACAAUUGUAUAACUUAAUCUAAUCUAUGGGAGAAAAUCACUUAAGUAGCAAGUCACAAAUAGUGAUUAGUGGGACAUUGACUUCCCACCCACAACCAAAACUUAAAGUCUUGGUGGUGACCAAUAGACCAAAUGACUGUUGGCCUCUAUAACUGUCAUUUGAGCAUUUUUGUGUGAUUGAAACAAGUAUUUAUCUUUUCUAUUUAGAUUCAGAAGAUGAAGCAAAAGCUUAAAGAAAUAAAUAGAGAGAUUGAAGAAGAAAUGCGUUAACGAGAUUUAAGAGGAGGCUUUGAAGAACAGAGAUUUAAGAGGAGGCUUUGAGGAACAAAGCAUGCAUAUGGCUGUUGAAUUUUCUUCACAUAGCUAUGGACAGAUUAGUCCUGCAACCGACAAAAAAAUUGUUAUUAGGAUAAAUUAGUACUACUAAUAGUUUAACCCAACAUAAAUCAGUAACACCACCCCCCUCCCUCCCACACACAGCCCCCAUACCUCCCCUCGCGGGGCAGUGUCUCGUUGCCAUCCUUCUCUAUGGACAAAAACAAUGGGGUUCAACCAUAUAUGAAGAAUAAAAAAAAAAAAAGUAUCGAUCCUCAGUCUUUGCCAUAAGCAUUUUUCCCCCCGAAAAUUAAUAUCAUCAAAGGAAGCCGUAAUCACGUUGCUGCACCAAUAUCCAAACUUUAUCCUUUUCUUCCAAGAGAAUAGAGAGUUUAUAUAGAUCACAUUUUCAUUGUAAUAAACCCCAAACUACUCAUAUAUUCCAAUCAAUAAAAAGGAACUUCCAAAGUAAAAUGACAACUAAACUCCGGACCUGCACAGAGAGAGAGAGAGAGAUAGAACAAGUGUGGCAAACUGGCAAUGAUCCUGGCAUCAACUCAAUUAACUAGUUUGAAUGGUUGAUUUGGAGGAAUGAAACAGUUAAAACGGAGUAUAGAAGUUCUGCAAACUGGCAACGAAUCAGGCCUCUUGUUUGGGAAUUUUAGUUGGGAAGAAAGAGGAGUGAACAUUUAAAACACAUUCCUCUCCAAACAGGGACUAGUGGGAUGGAGGUACUGUGAGCUCAAAACUUGUAAACCUAUUUCAAAUCCAUUUAAAUCGGCCCAUAGAAGUUCAAGCAACACUAGUAUCAAAAAUCUUCGAGGAUAAAUUGUUCAGAUAUAUUUAUAUGACACCUCCAACAUGUAAACAAAUUAGGGAUGUCAAAGCUUUCGUUACAAAAUAUGCAUGCAUGACAAGCCACAGUAUACCCCAAAUGGCCAAAAAUAAGCAACCUGAGACUUGUCAGCAGCUGAAGCGAGAUUCAUUCCCUACUAACAACACAAAAAUUGUUUUCAUGAGCAAAAUCAUGACAUCACAUGUUACUGCUGAAAAUGUACAGGGAAUAUGCCCAAGGAUACAGAAAAGUUGGGAGCUGAAAUUUGGAACUUCACCGCUAGGGUUUUGAACUAGGUUAAACCAGGAUCACAAUGAAGGAGAAACAGAUGAAUAAUGCAGUGGUCCUCGCAGUAGAUCAGGCACCUCAAGAUGUUCCAGUAGGGGCUUCAUCUUCAAUCCAAUUAUUCGUACUUCUGGAUUAGAGUGGCCCAACAAAAAUACAUCUGUAACCUGUGAAAGUACCAUAUGACAUGAGCAAUAUGUUAAUGCAUGCCUACAAGGGACAAUUCAGCCAGGCAUUUAAAGAGAACAGAAGUGUAUAUAUAUCGUGUCAGACAAAGGGACACUGGGGGAGGGUGGCAGAGACACUACAUGGAUGAUAUUAUUUCAAAAAUGGAAAGACUGGAGUAUGUAUUUGUGACCCAAAAAGAUUUAUUCUCUGGUGAAAAGCAAUUUGUAAAGGAUAAGACCCAGGUAUCGAGAAUACUUCACUCACAUUACAUACAUCUAUAAGAUGAAAGAGAGAGUUCAUACUCCCUAAAGGUUCCAAGAUCAAUUUAAUCUUUUGUGAAGCAUUAAAAAGGCACCCCCCCCCCUCCACUGGUUUCCAGAAGCAAAACUCAUUGCUUAGAAACAGGAAAAUAUUGCCAGAGAAAAGGGCUUGAACUUGACACAAAUACACACCAUCAAAGUAUUAUGGCGCUCAUGGCAACAAUAUCUAAGAACCACUAUUAGCUGAUAUCUCAUAUCCCCAUAUCUUUGGAUGUCAAACCUAUACAUAGAUUUCAUUCGUUUAUAAAUUCAAAACAGCAUCCACUGGAUCAGUUUUCUCCUCGAACUUUUGUUUAUGCAAACUAAGCACAAGUAACCAAACUUUCUUUUACAGAUACAACACCAGCCCAGCAUACAGGUAAAUUCUUUUUGAAGUUAUGAGAAGAUCUACAUGUUAGAAGUUUCCAGUCUCUUUAUCCUAUGUUUUCGGAAAACCAGAUUGAGGUCAGGGAGAAAAUUUGCAAGCAGCACAUAAAGUUUGAAACUUGUCCAAGAAAUUCAAAAGAACAUAUUCAGAAUCAAAGGAUAGACAGUGCUUAUGAUAUUUGUUCCCUUCUGUCACAGAAUGCCUGUCAAUUGGCUGGGCUGUCCCUUUACAACUUAUAAAGUUCAUUAGAUCACAAAAAGGGCCACCGGCUAGUCUUGAAAAGACAAAUUCUGACUUCUAAUACGAGAUCCAAUAGUUUGUAAAAUUAAGUCUGGUUUAAAAAAUCAUAUCAUACCUGAGUACAACCAAAUAGUUUCAAAACUUUCAGAGACAAGCAGCCAUCUACAAUCAAUCCAAGGGCUUCAUUAGUCAAAUUGCGACACCAGGACAAAUCCAAAUAUUGCAGGUUUCUAGAGAGUCUGGCAAGUGAUAUAGCGGUAUUCUGAGCGACCUGGAAAUUUUGUCAGAAAGGCCUAGUCAAGCCCAACAAUGGAAUGCCAUGUAUAAAGUAACCUAGGAUAAAAGACCCACGUGUUUGAUCAGUUAAUGAAAUAUCAAAUACGCGAAAAAUCCAAAUUACCUCCCAGCUGCGAGAAGCAAAAUCUCAGGAUAUUGUUAUCAAGCAAAUUUGGUAUGAAAUGCAAAGAUGAGCAACAGGAGAGGGAGGGAAGAGAAGGAGCAAAAAAGGUAUUGAUAGUUUAGUACCUGUUUAACAUUACUUAGUGAAAGUUCUCUCAAAGUAUCUCCACAGGUCUCAAGAUAAGCAGCAACAGCUUCAUCGCUGCCACAAAAUCGUAGGAAAGUUAUGCUGUUGGAUGUCAACUACUAUUCUGAAUAUGGGAUACAGGAUUACUUGUCAAUGAGAACACAGAGAUAAUCUCUAACUGCACUAUAAAGCUCCUAUAAAAGUGCUAGAGGCUUGUUCUAAAGGUCCGUCAGAGUCUAUGGGUUUUGCAAAGAAGAGGCAUUGACUUCUUAACUUGCUGCUGUAAAAGGCAAGCUAGAUGUAAUGGAAACAGAAGAGCUUGGAGGUGUGCCCUCACAAUUGGGUAUUAUGGAAUAAAAUCAACUGUAUGCCUUUUGAGGACAUAUAGAAAGCUUUGUAACAGUAUCAAACAGUAUCUUUUGGUUCACAUGGUUUUUAGGGCUAAGCAUACUUUCCUAAUUCUUAUGAAUAUCGAUUCUGAAUGGAAUUCCCUUGAGGGAUCUUUAUAUCUUUGUAUACUUCAUAUAUAGGUGGUACACUCUUGUACUACUUUCUCAAAUAAUGCAUUUAUUUUAAAAGGCCAAUAUUUAAAAAACCUGAAUGUGUUGCGGCAGAGUUUCAAAGCUUGAAUUGCUUGACAACCAUUUGCAAGGUACCCUAUUGCAGUAUCUGUUAAGUUGCACAAGUUAGAGAGAUCAAUUGCACAUAAUUCUGAGCAAUAUUCUACAAUAACUCUAACAGAAGAAUCCGUCAAUUUCCUGCACCAAAGGAAAUACAAACAGGAUUAAUGAACUAAGUAGAGAUUCCUUCAUAAUUCAAAUCUGAAAAGGCAAUCUAUUCAGAAUAACCCACAUGCAAUCUGCCAAAACAAGCUCCUUUAUCUUGUGACCUCGUUCGCUUACAAAUCUACUGACAAAAUCAUCAGAAACAGUCUCCAUGCCAGCCAAUGACAAGACUUCCAAUUGUUCAAACUCUAACAAAGCUGACAAUAUAUGCUUGGCUUCUAGCCCUUGGCAGUCAUCUAGAUAUAGUUCCCUCAGAACUGAUCCCAGUGAAGCUGCCAAACUGGCAAUGCCAUCAGAAGUAAGAAGGGAACAUUGGCUGAGAUUUAUAGAUCUUAGUGAAGGUGCAGCAGAAACCAGUGCACUUAGACCUACAUCAGAAAGACGAUAUGCAGCCCGUAAUGACGCAGCAGUUAAAGCAGGCAGGCAAUUUGAAGCACGAGCUAAUGUACCAAAAAGAACAUAAUCUGCCAAACAUCUUCCACACUGAUCAAGCUGUAGGACCUGAUUCCCAAACAAAUAUAGUCUUCAGAUAUUUCAAGAUCAAUUAAAAAAAAGAAACAAGAAAUCUACAUGUAAUCUAGAUGCCUAUAGAAUUCUUCCUGUAGCUCAUGAAAAGAAAUUUCAGCACAAAGAAACAAGUUGAACUAUUUACAUGCAAAACCACCAAGCAAAAACCAAUAUCCAAAAGAAUGCACAUAGCACUUGAUUAUUUUAGUUGAUGUAAUUGAGGCUGAAUAAGCAUAGCCCAAAGCAAAAAACAAUGGGAUUUGUAGCCCGUGUCUCAAAUAUAGUUGGAGCAUAAAAAUUUAAUUAGGCCAGAUCAUGCUGCAAAGGAAAAAAACUUAGGAAAAUGCAUUGUCCAUCUCAAAGUGAUAAAAGACUUAAAUUGCAACAAAAUGACACUAUAUCAAAAUGCCAACUACAGUCAAUUCCCAUACCGUCAAAUUGCUAGUAUCACAUGCUUCAAAAGUUCUAGUGAAUAUUUCCUCAGAUAACCAGGAACAGUCCCUUAGAUGAAUCUCAGUGGGAGAACCCUGUACAAGCAGGCCAAAGAAAUGAUCACCCAUUCUCCGAGAAUCACAAAGCAAUUGAGAUAGCCUGCGCCUCAAAACAUCAGGAAUGCAAUCAAGCGAAGUGAUUGCAUCGGCAUUUUUCACAAGAAUUGUCAGGCACAGGUCCUGCAACGAGGGAACCAACUGCUUUUGAAGGUUACACUGUCGAUCCUUUUUGGGUUUCCAUGUAACUGAUGCAACCCCCCUUUUGUCUGACAAGGAAUUAUGCCGCUGAACAUUUGCAUUCAUCUGACGAUCCCUAAUAAUCUUCAUUGCAGUUGAAAAUGGACCAGGCCAAUCUUCUGUUUCAGCGUUAAUGUCAGAUGGCGGAAUUUCCCCUCCAGAGGUAUCAGCAGCAUUGUCCUCCUCCUCUUGAGACGAGAAAUGAGCAAAACGAGAUGCAUUUCGCCUGGCUAUUUCACGAAAUCGAACCUUGUGAACCCUUCUGUCAGCAGUCACACUCAUGUCGGUCUGCUCUGCAUUUUGGGAUGACAUACUAUCGGCCAAUAAAGAAGAACUUGAAACAGUGUCGUCAUUUUCUUUUUCUAACUUAUUUUCGGACUUGCGUCCUACUGAGCAAGAGGAUUUUGAUAAGGAACUACUUUCGACUAAUUUUUCUUUCCCCUUAUCCUUUCUCCUAGUACUCCUGGCCUCAACCUUCUUUUCAGUCUUAACCAUGUUUCCACCAGCUUCUUUCACCUCAGAUUUCAAUUUCAACAAAUCAAUGCCACUCAUGAAGGAAGCCUUCUCAAGUACUUUACUUUUGCUCUUCUCUUCUCCAGUAAAUUUCUUCACAUUAUUGAUACUAUGAUAUCCAUCCCCUUCAGCAAUUACCUUGGACUCAUACAUCACACCACCAUUUCCUCUGCAGCCACUUGACAUACACUCACUAUCAUUACCAGUAUAAAACUUAUCACCGUCAUUACUCUCAACUCCUUCAGAACUAUCACCACUCCUUUUUUUCCCUCCACUCUUCACGAUUCUCCUCCCAGACCGUAGAUUCAAAACCUUGUUCUCAUUCUGAUCCUGCCCUACAAGCAUUAGAUCCGAUAAUUCCACAUCAAUGCCAAAUUUUCUCCUCCUCCUCCCCUGUUUCACGCUUUCAACUGCGUCACUACUUUGGCCUGAAUUUCCCAAAUCAACAAGAGAGUCAGAUUUAUUUGGUUCCUCUAACAUUACGUCCCCAACCCCAAUUCCAACAUCAUCCUUCUUCUCAGUAGAUGCAGUAGCCAAAUUAAGGCCAUCACCCAAACUCCCAUCAUUUCCAGCAUCCAAUCUCUUCCUUUUUCGACUAAAAGUUUUAACAGUUUCUAAACCUUCAGUUAAGUCCAACUUGGAAGCCAAUCGAGCACUCCGCCUGUGGACACUUCCAGCCGCCAACCCUUCCUUACCAUCCUGACAAGGAGCCUUAGGGCUCAAACUCAAAGGACUAGUCGUUGACUGAUGGUUCAAGCCUUCUAGGGUUUUCGCCGGAGUCUCCGGCUCAAACACCCCAAUAUCCACAGCUUUCGCCGGAGUUUUCAAUAUCAUUCCCGGGGGAGCAACUUCACGAGACCUCAACACCGUCAUUUCAACUGUCUAUAUUUGUUGCAAUGAUUUAAAAGGUAAAAAACGAAUGUUAAAAUCAGGGGGAAAAAUCAAUACAAAGCCUGACGAAAUCGAGGCUAAAACGAGUACAUAGGAGUGCGAAUUUGUUCACAAGUCCAUAUACGGAAAAUAUAUAAACAAUAAGUACAAAGAACCUGAAAUAUGCAUAGAAUCGGAGCUGAAGGUAAGUAUAGACAGAGAAAUGAAAAUGUAAAAACUUACCGCCGGCUGCGGAUUCGAGGAAUGUCGCCGGGCGGCGGCGAUAUUGAAAAGUACCGAUAAAAUUGAUUGCUAAAAUUUGCUAGUGGAAACCAACCGUUGGAGAUGGAGUAAGAGUGAGAGUGAAGACGGCGGGUUUUGGCUGUUGGGUUUCUCUCUGUCUUUUUUGAGGUUUUAUUGGGGAGAGAAAUUAGGAAAGCUUCUUUAACACGACUGCUGAGAUCGCCACAGGUGGCCUAUUUCCCGCCAAAACAAUCUCCAUUUCCUGGCCUGGUGUUAUAUGUUGUCCCACUCUUACAUUCGUCUUUCAAAUAAUCACACGUCUCAUUUCCUUUGCUUGUUCUAGCAAGGUUUUUCCAGCUAUAUUUGACUAGAGCAAAUUGCGAGACUCGGUAUUUUUUUUUUUGACAAUAUGUUUGGUUAGCAAGAUUUGCACCCAAAAAAAAAAAUUUCAAAUUUUAUUCUACUAACGUCAUAAACAUAAUUUUUAAUCACCUUUUUAUUUGGCAUACAUUAUAUCACAAAAAGUGUUAUAAUAAUUAUUUCAAAUAACUUUCUAUCCAAACACACUUUUGGAAAAUUCCUCAUAACGACUAAUAUCAUUUGUGGAAAGUUCUGGGAUAAAUCAUAUAUUUUUAUUAAAUUUUAGUCAAAAUUACAAACAUCUCUCCCACGUACAAUUCCCUCUAAUUGAAUGUAUUCAAGUACUCCAAUGCUAUUACAAAAAAUUAGAAUAAAUUACACACCUCCAUUUGGAUUAAUUGUUUUUGGGGUAUUUUUGAAAAAAUUUACUGUAAUUGAGUAUUUAGAAUAUAUUUUGGAAUAUUUAAGAGUAGUAGAGUUUUUAAAAUAUAUUUUGAAAUAUUUUUUAAAUAUAAAAAAAAUUAAACUAUUUUUAGAGUACCUUUUAAAAUACUUUUUAAAAAUUUUUAUAGUAUUUGAAAACUAAUUUUUUAAAAAUUGAUAGAUCCAAACAGAUCCACACAAGUUUUUGAAAUCACCACAAAUAGUGGGUUUGGAUAAAGUACUAUUGAAAUAAUUGCUAUAAUAUUUUUUGUAAUGUAAUGUAUAUGAGAUAAAACGAUGAUUGAAAAUAUAAAAAAAAAUAGAUUAAAAAAUAUGAUUAUAAUUCUAACGAAAAUAUUAUUCGGAGAAAUUUGCUAUACUUAUUUCCCGGAACCCUCAACUCUGUGAAAACUGUCAAUAAAGAAACAGCUUGCUAGGCAUGGCGAGUAGGGCUGCAAACGAGCCGAGUCGAGUCGAGUUUUGAGCUAAUCGAGCCGAGUCUCGGCUAAAUUUUAUCAAGCUCGAGCUCGAGCUCGAACUCGACGAGCUGGCAAUUUUCGAGCUCGAGCUCGACUCGAAUCAAGUCGAGCCGAGCUCGAGCUCGAAAAAAAAAAUUUAUUUUAUUUUUUUAAAAAAUAAAUGAAAUAAUAUUUUUUCUGAAUAAAUAAUAAAAUAUUAAUGAUAUAUCCGUAAUUUCACUAUGAAAAUAAAAAAUAAAAAAUAUAUAUAUAUAAUAUACGUAAUUUUAUUAUUAAAUAAAAAUAAAAAUAAAAUAAAUAUAUAUAUAUAUAUACUCAAACUCGCGAGCCGGCUCGCGAGCUAACGAGCUUAAUAUUCUGAGCUCGAGUUCGAGCUCGAGUUCGACUCGAGCUGGCUCGAGCUCGACUCGAGCUUGACUCGAGCCGCUCGCGAGCGGCUCGAUUCGUUUGCAACCCUAAUGGCGAGGAUGAUAUAUUCCGUUCCAUCCAAACAUUUGUAAAAGCAAUCAUACAUUGAAUAACAAAUAUCAAACAAAUCAUUUGAGCCCUGAUGAUUGCUGCGCCCAAGGCGAUAGUAGGAAAAAUACGAAUUAUCUAUAUCUAUAUGUAUACAGGAAGGGAUUUUUAGCAGAAACCCUCUCAAUGACUUCUAAACUUCUCAUUCUUUUUUCUAGAUUUUUGUAUUUAUUUUAAUACAUAAAAUGUAGUGGGUUAUAACCCACCUUAUCACCCAUCAAUAUUCCCACUAUCUCACUCCCACUAUCCCACUAUCUUAACUCAUCCUAUAACCACUCCUACAAAUUCUCUAUUCCCACUAUCCCACUAUCUCACCCCUACUCUCCCUCAUUUUCUUAUUUGUUUUUGGUUCUCUAUUCAUUUUGUAAAUGUAUUGAUUUUGUUUCUUUUAUGAGCAGUAAUGGAAGAUAUUAUGUGCAGAGACUUUAGCAGAACUCAACCUUCUUGCGGAGAAUUGGAAGUAUAUUCUUGCCAACUUAAUUUUUCAGGUCAGUCCCCUCUGCCUUUUAAGUAUGUUUUGCUUUUGCUUUGCUUUUUGUCAUGAAUGAUAUUGCAUUGAUUUUCUGAUCAUCCAUUAUUUCUGAAAAUUUUUUACAAAAUCCUAUGAACGGUUGUUUGCUUAUUGUUACACUGUAAAGCAAAUAUAGUCAAUAGUGGGAUAAAAUAUAAAUACAAAAUCACAAUCACAUUUCUAACCUAAGGUAUUACUUGCUUAUAUAAUUGCGAAUGGUAUAGAUUCAUGAUUGAGGGUUUUACUAUUUCUAACAUAAAUUGUAUAUUAUAAAAUUUAUUUGUUUGUAUUACUGAAAUUUUUUUAAUUAUUUUGUAUUGCACAUUUAUCACAUAAAAAAGGUGUUACGAUAAUUAUUUUCAUAAUUUUAUUCCAAAAAUGAUCGUGCAUGAAAUAAAAAAAAUAUUUUUUUGAUAAUAAAAAAUAAUUAAAAAUUGUUUAUAAUUAGAGAAAAACAAUUCAGAUACUACUAAUAACUAAGGCACUAUACGCCCAUUAUUAAAAUUGGAUUAAUUUUUAAUUUCGUCAGAAAUUCUUUUGGCAAAAUUGCAUUCUAGCCUUUCUUUUCUUUAUCAUUUUCUCUCUGCAUUGACUGCAAUAAUUUUCACUUCACUUUUAAUGGUUGACCUUUCAAAAUUGGUAGAAAGAGAUUUUAUUAGCAUUCAAAUAACUGUUCUAUGUUGCAUCUUUUUGAAAUGCUAAAGAAGACAUGAAACUUCUUGAAAGAUGGUAUCCUACUUUUUAGAGUUUGAAUUGAAAUAUUACCUUCAUUUUUUAUAUUUUUGUAUUUUUGCAUCCACUGGAUUAGAAAAAACGCGUCCUUCUAAGCUUGGAUAAUGUUCAGUAGUGAUGUCAAAGACCUAAUGAUAUCUAUAUGAAAAAUAAAACCCAAGGGACAUAAUUAUAUAUCAUACCAGAUAUCAGGAAACUGUACAAAAGAAAUAAUCCUGACUCAUAUUUCGGCGCUCUACCUGACUCAAGACAGUGAUUUUAAAAAAAAAAUCUGAUUUCUCUUGGUAUUUGAAAAAUUCUGAAUUCUAACUGAACUUAAACCAAAAGAAUAAAUUAAAAAUUAUAGAGGCUGCCAAAUUAAAAGACAAUAUUGAAUUGGAUAUUAAAAGAUGGUUUAAACAUAGUAGGGUCUACGAACCAAAAUCUUUGAAAAACAAUUUUGUAUCCAAAAAAUAAAAAAAAAAUCUACAAGAACAAACUCAUUUUCCAAAAAAAAAAAAAAAAAGAAGCCUAUAAGAACAUACGCCCUUUUCCAAAUUUAAUAAUUUAUCUAUAUUAUGAACAUAUUAUAAACUAAUACAUUCCUUUUUAUUUAAUAUUAAAAAUUGAUUUAAAAUAUACAAGUGAUAGCAGAGGGAAUGAAGCAGUUAGCGACAUGUGAAAAAAUCGAAAAGGACAAAAGCAAUUAGAGGGAUAAUUUCGCACAAAAUUCAUGGAUUAAAGUGCACUUUGAGGUAUAGAUGGGAGGCAUUUUAGUGCAUUUAUUGGUUUGUUUUCAAUAAGUGGUUAUUGGUUUUGGGGGAUUUGGGGGGUCUACAUAUACCAAAAUAUAUUUAUAUAGGGAUUACUUCAUUAACUAUGAGUGCUAAUAACAAUUCUAUUGGUACGUAAUUUUCAUUUGAUUACAACACAAUUGUAUUAAAUUCUAUUGAUUCUACUUCUAUAUUAACUAUUGUAUUUUUUUGUUAACAAUUCUCAUACAAUGUAUCACUUACUACACAUAAAAUAAAUACAAAAACUAUUUAUUUUUUAUUUAAUAUAUAUAUUCUUUCUAGAUCAAAGAAAUAAAAAUAUUGCCUCUCUUCAAGUUCGACAGCCAUCCGCAUCACCAAUACUUUUGCGUGAUCAUGGUAAAUAUACAGUUUUUUAUAUCGUCAAAGAUCGUGCAUUUUCAUUUGUAGUACACACUCCACAAAAUUCAACAUAGUUAAUUAAAUUAUCAAUUUUGGCUUUCGUACUAAAAGUGGAUUGGUGUGAAGAGUGUUCGCACUUUCAAGAAAGAUUAUCAAAUCGAAUGCUUAGCAUUUGCAAGUAUUUCAUUUUAACAACAUCCAAUUGCAUUCAUUUGUAGAAAUAUAUCAUUCCCUUUUUUAAUAUAAAUUUUAAUUUUUUUUCAGGAUCCAUCUUUCGAAAAAAGAUAGUUCUUGAAUGAUAUACACAUUCUAUUAUAUUUCAAACUAUUGUUAAACAGAUAUUACAUUUAAAUUUUGUUGGUUCAAUUUUUUCACCUUUAGUUGUUCAUCAUUUUAUUUUUUUCAAUAAUAUCAGCACCGUGCGUAGCACGGGUAUUCACACUAGUUAUAUUAGUGAGGAUACAGUAACUUAAGCAGAAUAGCCAAAAAAAAAAAAAGGAUCAUUUGAAAAUGAUGAAGUACACUAUUUAACAUGAUUGAAGAGUCAUACAUUCGUGAAGUAUUGUCUUAACCCUUAUGGGGGCCCCGUUCUCUAUCUCUCGGUUUGGUUGGACGCAUUAUCCCAAUUGUCAUGAUCAGAAAUUUUUUUCCCCAAUUGUCAUGACUAGAUGACUCUUCAAUUUAACAAAAAAGCGAUGGUCUUACGUUUGACUAAACUGCUUCCCUACCACCGCAAAGAGACAGAUGUAAAGUUUAUGAGCUUGAUUAUUUUAAUUAAUUAUAUAUUCUAAUUUUGAAUAAUUAAUUUUUAUUAUGAUAUCUGUUACUUUUGUAGUCUGACUAUAGAUUUUUAAUGAUAAAAAAAAUUUAAAAGCGAUAAUCACUAAAACAAUAACUUUGAUAAUUAAGAUUAUUUUUUACAAUUAGUUUCUAUAAUAAGAUUUUAUAAAGUCUAAAACAAUCAAGAACAAGACCUAUGUAGUAAGGCUCGUUAGUCUUAUAAAAGAGUCCCAAAAGAUCGGUCAUCCACAUUGCUGAUUGCUCUCUCUAAAGCUAAUUAGUGAUGAAUUGAAAAAUUGUUGGCAAAACUUUUAUGAUUUGUAUAUUGAAAUUGAAAAAGUUUGGGAACUAAUUUGAUUAAGUCGAAGAUUUGUGUUAUAUGCAUCGUUGAAACUUGAAACAAGGAAGUAGUUAUAUGAUUAUAUCUUCGUACGAUUUUCAGCAACCCUUGCAAUAAAAUGCAUUUUUUCCUUUUGUCAAAAAAAGAAAGUACAUAUAGAAUUAUACUCAGUAAUUGAUUACACGAAAAUAUCAGAUGCAGGAAAAAAAAAAUUAAGAAAAAUACCCAAAAAGAUUAUUGUCAAAAGAAGCCAGGUGGAAAGAGGACCAUUCAGGCACAGUUGAGUUGCAUGUUCAUAAGGUCAACAAAUGUGGCGGCACGAACUGGAAAUGCACUGGAAAAUCAAAUGGUUUUUAUUUUUUCUAACCAAAGAACUAGGGAUUAUUUUACCCAAAAAAAAAAAAAAAUCAAGAGCUUCUUGCAUGCAUAUUUUUUCAACAAUCAGAGAAUUACUAGAACAAACACAACAAACUUAGAUUAACACUCAGAGAUAAGCGAAAUCAUGAUGCAUUACUAGAACAAACACAACAAACUUAGAUUAACACUCAAAAAUAAGCGAAAUUCUGGUACAAAGCACAAGCUAAGGUAGAGCCCAUAAACCAAUACCAUCCAACUAAUUAAUAACUGAAAGUGCGACUGAGAACCUUAAAUCCAGGAUAACUACCCCGCAAUCUUUCGAUGUGGGUCAAGAGCUUCUUGCAUGCAUGGUUGAAUCGAUAUGGUCCCGUCAUGGAAAAAUACAGAUAAACGACGGUGGUGACCCGAGCAUUAAAUAAUUCUAAGAAUAUUAGUAAAAGAAUUAGAGAGAGAUUAGACCCACGUGGUUAGACUUGACUUGUGGGUUUACUUCAGCAUCACCUCAAUUAGUAAUCAUAUAAAUUAGUUUACUAUGGUAGAUUAACUUAAGACGUGGCAGAUUUUGUCAUUCCUCGUUAUUAUUAUUUUAUUUCUUAAAACUUCUCACAGUCACAGGCAACGACGAGGACUUUUUAUUCCAUCACCGGCGUAUUAGUACUAUUAUUAUAGAGUCUGAAGAAAACGACACAUAAAACUUGUUUUAUGGAAUGGCUCAUUAUCAAGAAAGCACAAGCUGUUGAUUCUAUCUAGUUUAUUUAUUUUUUGACUAAUUCAAUUAUUUUCUUGGGUUUUAAUUAGAAUAAAUAUUCAUGGUCCCAUUGAUAAGUGUAUGCGCUGCCCACAACUCGCAAUCUUGCACGGCCAACCACUUACACAAGAUUUAGAACUAAAUAAAUAGUAAAAUAAAUAAAGAGCCACACGAAUUACCCAAAAAAAAAAAAAAGAAGAAGAAGAAGAAGAAGAAAUCGUGGAGUCUAUCCAAGCCCGCUCAAUUGCUGAUAGAUCUAAACCCCAGGCACGUCAUUCUAAUUAGGUGAUUUUUAGAAAAUAAAAUAAAAUAGGGCAAAGUUGCUGGUAGAAUGGAAAUUAUCAAUUUGAAACAUUUUCUUAAAUUACCGUCAAGUCUAAUCAGCAUCAUCUAGUACAUUUGUCUCUUUCUAGCAUUUUCUUCCAAAUCAAAAGAUUUUACCCAAAAAUAAAAACAAAGGGAAAGAAUUGUAGAAAUUUUGUCAUUCAGAUGUAAUAACCUUUUUUUUCAAAUAAAUAAAACAAAAGAAUCUAUUUCUCAAAAGAGAAAAUUAACAUUUUAUCUUACCAAAAUUCGAAAGCGUGCUGACUCAUCUGUCCCCCAAGCCUAGCUCAUGUGAGCUCUCAAACUCGAGAUUAUCUUGUUUUUUUAGAGCCAAAAGUCAAUCAUUGUAAAUAAAGGAAAAAUAUUAUUUUCACUUCCAUUUUUGUUAGUCACACCUUCAUUAUUACUUUAAUCAUAUACUCGUUUUUAUUGAUUAAAUUAUAUGAUAAACAAAUGGCGUGGAUGCAAAUAACAUUUUUUCAAAAUAAAUUAUCACUAACUAAUUGAUGUUGCGUUUGCUGUACUAAAUAAUUAUAUUACUGUAAGGAUUGCUUCCAAGGCACUUCUUAAAAUAGUUAAAUUAUAUUUAAUCUAUCAUGUGAUUCACAUUUUAUCGUCCUCUGCUUCUAAUAUUUUUCUAAAUUAGUUUCACUUUUAUAUAUAUAAAAAAAAUCUGAAACCAUAUGUUAAUAGACAAAUUCAUAAACAAUUCGUCACCAGUAUUGAUAACGUAAUAUCUUUACCAUUUUUUUUUUUUUUUGAGGUCAAGUUGAUUCCUAGAUAAUUUCAAAGUUCAUAUACAUAUGUGUACAAGCUCGAACAUGUCACGAAUUCAUAAGAUGCGUGUAUUUGUGGAAAUAAGGAAAAGAAGAUCAAAGCACUUUUAAGUAUUUUUAUAUUAAAGUAAUUACCCAAUUUUGAUUGCAAUUAUCCAACUAUAUUUUGGCUUGUAUUCCUAGUAAGUAUAUGAAAAUUGAAAAGUAGAAUGCAUGAUAGUGAAUACAAAAGCUAGGUCCUACACUAACAAGUGACACUGAUCCAAAAAUCAAAGCACCAAUCAUAAUCAUUUUUUUGUUUAUUCCAGAAAGUUUUUUUUCCCCCUUGCCGCGUUCAACUCCAUGCUCUCCUUUUUUCUUCGUCCUGUGACUUGCCCCACUCCAUUACUACUAACUAAUCGAUCUCAUAAACUUUUUUCUGAUCCCAUCGACGAUCCUACUGAAACCGAAUCACUACAUUAUCUUCGGAAACGCUUCUGCAAGAAUCGUGGGCAAGAUAAACACUGUGCUAAUCCCUACUACAUGGGAUGGCUCAGCAUCACAACCACAGCCACCACCACCACCACCCAGCCGCCGCAGAUGGCGCAGUUUCUCAGCGAGUCAAUAGCCCUCGAUUCUCCGGUCCAAUGACUCGCAGAGCCACCUCUUUCAAACGUCAAAAUAACAACAGGGACAAUGGUAGCAACCACAGCUCCCAAACCAAAGACAACAAUAGUAAUAGCUCUCACGAGAUUAAUGUUCAGCUGAACUCGCCCAGAUCUGAAAACUACUCGAAUGCGAACUCUGGAGAUGGGUUCGAUUCUUUGGUGGAAAAGAGGCAGACCCGUUUGGGGAAUUUGACUCAAAGAGUGCAUUUGAAGAGAAAGAUUGGAUCUUUUGGUAUGGACUUUGGGUUGGGAUUGGAGUUGAAGGGGAAGGUGAAGUGGGGGCAGUGGAUGUUUUUUCUGUUUUGCGGGCUUUGUUUGUUUCUGGGGAUUUUGAAAUUUUGUGUCAGUGGAUGGUUUGGAUCUGCAAUUGACACAGUUGGGUCCAAUCAGGUUGGUUCAUUUCGCUUGAACUAAAUCCAUUUCUUGUAUGGAUCAUUGGCAUCGGAUUCGUGGAUUUAUGAUGUAUAUAAUUUUUUGGUUUUUCUUUGUGCUCUUACCAAGCUUUUUUACUUCGUAGUAGUGGAAUAAUUAAAUACUACUGCUUUUUAGAUGAUGGUGUUAAGAGUAAGCUGAGAAUUUACUGGUUGAGUGAUUAGGAAGGUCUUCGUUUACUUGCAUACGUAAAAAGAAUGACAGAUUAGUUAUGUCAAUUUCUUUUCCUACUGAAGUUAGGUUGGUUAUAUUGUAGCAUGGCACCCUUCGGUUUCUUAUUUUAAGUAGUCUAUUGCAUAAUAGGGUCCAUUGAUUUUAGGUUUGCUAAUGCAUCUGACGGAGAAUGCGAGUUCCUGUUUUCUCAUACCCGGUUCAUGUAUUCUCGCAUAUAUGUUGUGCACUGCCUUUAUUAUAGAAAUAACAGUGGUACGGUGGUUUAAUGGCUCUAACUUCCUUUUUAGGAUUUCUAUGACAAUCCAGACGCUGCUUAUAAUGUGAGAGAUGAAGGGGCUCAUGACUAUGGAUAUCGAACAGGAGCUAAUGAAAAUGCAGGCAGAGAAAAUGAUAAUGACCGGACUCUAAAGACGGUACCUAGAAUGGCUGAUGUGAGCACCAAAUCUUGUUUGACCAAUUUUAUUUUUGCAUAAUCUUCUCGUAUCAUUUCUGAGUGAAAAUUAUUCAGCAUUCAGGUACAUGGGCCAAGCCAGAUAGUGAGAAUUAUACUCGGUGCAUUGAUCAGUCAAAACACAAAAGUAUAGCUCUAUGGCUUUCUCUUGAAUUUGAUUUCGUUCUGAUGUUGCACAUACUCCAUUUGUUCUUUACUAUCUUGCUUUUCUGAUUCAUGAACAGAGUUGGACGAAAAGACGAAUGGUUACCUUCUGAUAAACGCAAAUGGUGGCUUAAAUCAGAUGAGAUUUGGGGUCUGGUUCUUAUUCAAUGAUUGUAUGACUUCUGCUGAAGAACAUAAUGAACUAAUCUGAUAAACAAGUAUUUCUAGAGUGCAGAUCUGUGACAUGGUUGCUGUUGCUAAAGUCAUGAGGGCAACUCUUGUUCUUCCCUCCCUCGAUCACACUUCUUACUGGGCUGACGAGAGGUACCUUCAAUCAUCCUCCACUCAUUCAGUGUAUAAGAUAGCACAAAUAAUGCAUUUAACCAGUUGCAAAUGCUGCAUUUGAUUUGUGUUUCUUAGUAAUCAAAUUCUUUUAGCAUCAUCCUGUUACUCACAAGGUAUGUCUGCCUGAUAUACUUGUUAACGAACAGCAGAUGAGACAUAAAACUGGUUUUCAUGUAAAAUUAUUACACCUUGACCACCUUAAAAUAGUAUACAAGGAAAGAUAGCAAAAUAUAUUUCAGCUUUAAGAAGUGUACAUCUCUAUGAUACAAGAGCUUCAAAAUAUGUCCAUUGCAUUGGUUCAACAUGUACCAUACAUUAAUAGCACUUAAAUGCCUUAAUGGAAGAUCAACAGGUGCUAACAACUUCCUAUGGUUUGCUUUUCUUGUCUUUGUGCAGUGGCUUUAAAGAUCUAUUUGACUGGGAACACUUUAUUCAGACAUUGAAAGAUGAUAUUCACAUAGUUGAGGCACUACCACCUGAAUAUGCUGGAAUUGAACCGUUCAACAAAACACCCAUUUCCUGGUCUAAGGUAGUCUUGUGAACCUUUUCCACCUCUAGCAACAAGCAUGCCUGCUGUAAUGCCUAAGAUUUUAUUGUAGCAUGCUUGUAAACUUGUAGGUCCCACAUACGGUUUAAUACUAUAGCUCAAAAUAUAUUGGAAAACUUUGUUCCGCACAUGUUUUGCCAUGUAUUGAUGGCUUUUUUGUGUUUUCUAUUUAUCUUAUGCUCAAAACUUUCCUUGUUCAGGUCAGCUAUUACAAGUCAGAAGUUGCCCCACUUCUGAAGCAGCAUAAAGUGAUCUACUUUACUCAUACUGAUUCCCGGCUUGCCAACAAUGGUCUUCCAAACUCCAUACAAAAGCUAAGAUGCCGUGUGAAUUAUAGAGCUUUGAAGUACUCAACCCAAAUUGAAGAAUUAGGGAAAACUUUCGUGUCAAGAAUACGAUACAAUGGAAGUCCUUACCUUGCUCUCCACUUGAGGUCUGUCAUGGUGGUCACAAAUGACUUGUGGGAAUUUGAUGCUCUAAGACUUGCUUGUUGUUUUGAAGUUUGAGAUCCAGACAUUGAACUUUUGGAGUGUAGUUAUCCUACAGUCUACUAAACUCUAGCUGCAGUAACCUUUAUAUGCUAGUUCAAGAAACUUGAAUGAUUAUAUUCCUCUCAUUUGGUUAGGAAACUUGAAGGGUUUUAUUCCUCUCUUUUUGCUUAGGAACUUGAAUGAUUUUAUAUUCCUCUACAGUCUACUAAACUCUAGCUGCAGUAACCUUUAUAUGCUAGUUCAAGAAACUUGAAUGAUUAUAUUCCUCUCAUUUGGUUAGGAAACUUGAAGGGUUUUAUUCCUCUCUUUUUGCUUAGGAACUUGAAUGAUUUUAUAUUCCUCUACAGUCUACUAAACUCUAGCUGCAGUAACCUUUAUAUGCUAGUUCAAGAAACUUGAAUGAUUAUAUUCCUCUCAUUUGGUUAGGAAACUUGAAGGGUUUUAUUCCUCUCUUUUUGCUUAGGAACUUGAAUGAUUUUAUAUUCCUCUAAUUCGUGUUGCAUUUCAACAGAAAUUGAAUGUAAAACUUUGAUAUUGUUCUUCAAAUGAUUUGACAAUUUAACAAAUCCUUUUGCACAUUUGAUACUGGUUUUUGUGGGCUUGGAAGAAAGACGCUGAUAUGAUGGUCCAAAUGAGAAAACAAAAAUACUAGUAUGCCAACACCAAUACCUUUGAUUGUUUUAGAUCAUUUCGCUUUUAUUCUGAAUGGCAUCUGGUGCUCUAGUUGAAUUCCUUAGUGACUUGUUAUAGAUUUUAAUUCCCAUACUACAUGUUAACCGUUAUCUGUUGUUGUGUCAGAUAUGAGAAGGAUAUGCUGGCUUUCACAGGAUGCAGUCACAAUUUGACAGCAGAAGAAGAUGAGGAACUUCGUAAGAUGCGAUACGAGGUGAGCCAUUGGAAGGAAAAAGAGAUCGAUGCAGUAGAGAGAAGAAAGGUUGGUGGAUGCCCUUUGACACCCAGGGAGACGGCCCUUUUGCUUCAGGGGCUAGGAUAUCCAUCCAACACUAGGAUUUACUUGGUUGCUGGUGAAGCUUAUGGAAAUGGGAGUAUGCAAUAUCUCACGGAGAGCUUCCCAAAUAUCUUCUCCCAUUUGACUUUAUCAUCUGAGGAAGAACUAAAUCCUUUCAGAAAUCACCAGAAUAUGUUAGCUGGGUUGGACUAUGUAGUUGCUCUUGAGAGUGAUGUUUUUGUAUACACCUAUGAUGGUAAUAUGGCAAAAGCAGUACAAGGUCAUCGGCGCUUUGAGGAUUUCAAGAAAACUGUCAAUCCAGACAGGUAAUGAUUCUAGGUGCAGAGCCUUCUCAGAAUUUUGUUAGGAACAGAAUGGGUUUCUUAUGGCACUUGAAGGUUGGAUUCAUCUUAUGUAUGAUGUGCAAUUGUUAUUGCACUUGGCAUAAAUCCAAAAUUGCCCGGUGUUAAAAUGCCUCAUGCUGAUUGGAUAUAAAUUAUGUCGACUUACUAUAAUUUGUUAUGCUAAACUAAUGCCUUCUGAUUUUCCGGAUGCAGGAUGAAAUUUGUAAAGUUAGUUGAUGAUCUUGAUGAAGGGGUAAUGUCCUGGAAAAAAUUCAGUUCUAAGGUAAAAAAGCUUCACAAGGAUCGCAUUGGAGCCCCCUAUCCAAGGGAGCCUGGCGAAUUCCCAAAGCUAGAAGAGAGCUUUUAUGCAAAUCCGCUUCCUGGCUGUAUUUGUGAAAAAAGCCACGAAAGAUAGAAGAGGUUUGACUCAACAGGUUUUGCUGAUUGGUUUCUGUACUGAACACUUCAAAGGGCUGUUACCAGAGACUGAUACAACGCUCCUUAAGGGUGAAUGGCUUAAAGAUUUGUUUGAAGUUCAUUUAGCCAACAUUUCAAGUGCAAACUGGAUCAGUGAUGACUUGCGCUCCUCAAGUUCAGCUAAAUUUGGCAGCUCAUCGCACGGUUCUGAAGCAUACUCUUCACCACACAAUGCUUACACAUUACAUUAAUUACACAUCCUGCAGCGGAUGACUUUUGGUAAUUGAUAUGUAAGUUGCUGACUUCCAUGUACCAAGUACAGACACUUGCAUGAAUUGGGAAAAUGGAAAACUCAUAGUACAACUUAUUUUACUAUCGCUGCUGGAUGCAGAAUAUGCAAUUGAUUGAUACUACAACCGUUCCUGAAUUUCGUUCUUCGAGUAAAUUCCAUCUUCUUAACUUGUUAUGUUUGUAUCACGCAAGAGAACUCGUUCAGGAACACUUAAAAUCUGCUGCUUGGAGCUCAUAAAAUUUUACUUGAAACAAUUUGUAGAACAAUUUUUCUUUGUUAUUAGCUUUUCUUAUUUUUUUUCCCUUAAAAGGUAAAAGCAUGAGGAUAUUUUGGUCGUUUAGAAAAAUCAUUCUGCUCUCUCCAUCUGCCGUGAAUGAAAAGCGGUUGUUUAUAAUUUGGUCAUGCAUCGGGGGUUGAUUGGUAAUAUAAGAUAAACUUUAGAGGAGGAAAAUGCAGUCAACCGUACCUUCAAAUUGCUAUUGGACUAAACUAAUCGCUUUGGCAAAUUUUAAGCCUGGUUUACAAAAUUUAGGCAAGAAAAGAAGGAAGAUUAAGUACAAGUUGGGCAACAAAAGAAGAGAACUGGUUAGGUCCUCCUGUGCUACGUUUGAGUGCGAAAGGAUGAAAGAAGAUUACCAAUGUUAUAUUAUAUGUGACUUUUACAAGUUCGUCCUUCUAUAUAAGUAUUUUAAUGUGUAUUUGAUGGGCAAAAGGGACAUUGCAAAUGGUGCUAAGGGUGCAAAAUCAGAAUAGUUGAGAACAUUAGGGGCGCAAAAGGAAAACAAGAAAGGCCUAGCAUGAAGAAGAGCACAGCGUGCAUAUUAAAAUCAAAUGUACUCCUUCAAUCCCGAAUUCAUUUACGACAACAUCACAUUUAAUUUCAUUUCCAGAACAGGCAGAUUUCGGCACGAGAGUUUCAGAUUUGACAACAAGAGGAAAUACGAGAAAAGCCAUCAUUAGGACAGCUGAAAUACCACCGGAGACUGAACUGCGGAUAACUACUCCACUAAAUCAUUCUCAUUAUUUAGAGACUUCAAUCCUGACCUUAAACGAAAGUACUUGAACUGCAAAACAGAUGAGCAACAUAAAAUGGAUCACAGCUUUGUGAAAGAACGAACUAAUUGACUGACUCCAAAUUCCGUCUGAACAACUUCACGGUAAUCUAAUUGGUGCCACCAAGGAUUGCUUUGAGCUUCUUGAUUUGUGGAAUGUCAAGGAAAGUGGUUUUGGCAACAAUUUCAGUUGGCAAAUCAUUCUUGAAGAAUGCAAAGUCAGUGACUUGAAGACCGGGGUUAGGACUACUAAAGCUAACAAAAGCUAGAGCAGGACUCUUCCCGGAAUUAAACUGGAAAUGCAGCAACCCUCGUGGGAAUGCCAUCACAUCUCCUUUUACAAGAGUUUUGAAAUAGACUUGAUUCUCCAAUGAAGAAAUGAAGCCAGCACAGAGCUGCCCCUGUAUGACAACAAGGAUUUCAGAUCCUCCAGGGUGCGUGUGAAAUGGGAUAACACCACCCACAGCAAAAUCCAGACGGGCAAUUGAAAUGCCAAGACCAUUCACACCAGCGAACGUGGGUGGAAAAGCAGGGGUUACUGCCGCAGAAAUGAUGUUAGAAGUGUUGCCAGAAGCUGCUAAGCUGAAAAUAAAAUCAUCAACUGUGACGUCAGCAGUCUUCUUGCAAGAGUAACCUGCAGGUCCAACAGGCAAUGAAGGAUCCGCUACGCAGAAGUCGAAAGCUUGAGUUGAGGCAACAAGGAGUGAAAAGAAAAAGAGGGCUUGUAUCAACAUUUCUGCUAGCUAUUGAGUUUAACAAGGGAGGAAUGUGGAUAUGUGAUUAAGUGGUGGAGAAUUGUGAUGUUGAGAAUGUAUGCUGAAUUUAUAAGACUGUGAUGGCAUGGAUAUUUCUGGACCAUUGGGGAUAUGCCUUGAAGCAUUUCACAUGCAUGCAAAAUUUGACGAAUGAAAGGACAUAUUAUGGGUUGUCAUGCAUGUGAUUGAGUACGUUCUCAAUCGACAAAUACAAAGUGUCCCUUUUUGUUUGGAAUUGGCUAGGAUUGAGAAGCAUAUUCUGUAAAGUGCAAAAAGAAUCCAAGGAAAGAAAAUGAGCUAGAUUGCUGUUUAUAAGGUUCCAAAUGGGCUAGGAGUUUCUACUCGUGGCAUAAUUAUACUAAUUUAGUAAUUUAACAGCAGUCUUAUGGCAUAAUAGGCUUCCUUAUAACAGUGAAAUCAAGGAGAAUGUAGAUUAAGUGGAUUUAUAGAUGGCAGUUAUUUUAUUUCCAACAGUAGAAGUGUCUUCAUUUUGGUUUUGGUUUUGGUUUAUAGGCUUUAAUAUAAUUAGAAAACUUUGGUAAAUUACUUAGGUGACUGCAAUUAGUAGUUCAGGGCACUAUCAGUGGUCCUGCAACUUUCAUAUUAUCAGAUUAUCCACGAAUAAGGAACCGUGCACCUAAGAAACGCUACAGAGAAUGCAAUUAUGAUGAUUGUAGUCCUUGCUCCUUACUAGCAAAGGCAUUGGGCACUAUGUCAGUAGUUGUUACUUUAGUUUGUGAUCAAUUCAUUUGACAGAAACAGAUUUUUCUCUGUAGUUCUAAGCAAACUGCCCCUUAAAUUAUCUCUUUUUGCGGUUUUGGACAAAAGAUGGUGAUAGUUUGGUCAGCUAACACAUACUUGAAAUAUAUUCUGAUUGGAAAUUUUUAGUCUCAAGCACAUGAGAAAAUGUCUUAUGAACCAAACAGUACACAGUUUCUAUCAAAUUUUGAAGGACUCUCCAUCAAAAAGAGAUUUUAAAGAUGAAAAAAAAUCUUGCAAUGUGGUCCAUGAUCACCCAAGGUAGAAGAAAACAUUUGAGAGACAAAAGUGAGUCGCAAUGUGGUCCAUGAUCACUCAAGGUAGAAGAAGACAUUUGACAGCCAAAAGUGAGUUUUUGCAGGCCCGUCUUGUCAUUUCAUAUUAAGUUAGCCAACAGCCGUGUAUAAAUGUAUGGAUCUGGUAACUUCCCUAUCCUUUGCGGCAUUGUUGAGGAUGAUUAGACACACCUAAAGGAUAAGGUUUCUGCUUGUAAAAUCCUGUCUGCAGAAGACAAACACUUUUCACCUUAAUGGAAGAAAAAGUUGACUACGAACACAGUUCAGUGAAUUUUAUAACACAGGAGUAAAGUGAUGGUUAAGGAAUUAUAGCAACAUAAGUGCCAGUAGACAAUUACUGCAAUUUUGAGAAUCAGGUUCUUUUCCAUGGAAAUUGAAGCGAUAAGGAAUCACCAAAAUUACGAACCAGUGAUAAAUUACUUUUGCAGUUGAAUAUUACUUUUACAUGGAUAAACGUUGGCAGAGAAUCAUAGGCUUCAGCAUCCUUGAAGAAUUCAACAAAGCUUCAUGGGUAGAAAGAUGGAACACCAUAGAGGCCAGGGUAUUCUCCUUAAAUUAAUAAUACAAAAGCUCUGAUAUGCAAGCUAGCAUGAUAGCUUUGCUACAUUGGAAGCAAAGGACAAGUUUCAUUAAGAAUCAUCAUGACAUUGUAGAAAGCAAACAAAAAAUCUUUGGCAUUGAGGAUUUCGAAUCAUGUGGACGUGCUAUUCCUAAAAGUUUGAACUUCUUUCACGUACUGCCAACAUGCUAGAUAGACUGGCAAAAGAAAACCCCAAGAAACUGACAAUUUCUCAUUCGAAUUCUGUCACGCAGACUAGAAUACAGAGAUCUAACCAGAAUGAGCCCCACAAACCGUUCGUGAUGAUGGAUACCAGGUAAAUUCUUAAUAAGUAGAAAUAUUGCUGAGCAUUUUUAUUUCUUGUUCAUUCCAUUGCCAUAAUGUCAGCACAUCAGACCUUACCAUGAAUAUAAGGAAGCAUCAAUUGGAUCUAAUCCUAUUAUUAAAAGUGAACCAUUCAUCCUCCUUAAUGAGAUAAUGUAUAAUCUGAAGGUAAAAAGAAUAGCAUUGCUAAAAAACGCGAGUGAAGAUUGCAAGCUAUGUCUAUGACAAACCGGGGGGGGGGGUGAGAUUUACCAGGAUGGAGAAAAAGAACAAGAAAACAAGGAUUAGGGUCAUUUUCUCAUCUUAUAUAUCACCACUUUAUUCGCCUAGUCUAGGAUUAGGGUCUUUCUAAACAGCCCAAAUCUUAUUCCCACGAGUAAAAUCUUUAUUGUAUGCGCAGCAGAAGAGGCUAACUAAAUAUCACCCAGAAUUUAACAAGAGAACCAUCUUACGAGAAGUAUAUACAUUUGCAUUGCCCUAUGCUGCUGAAAAAAAUUAGUAUGUCUUCAUUUUUUUAUGUUUCUAUCUGUAAGAAUGCAUUUUCGCAUGGAUCAACAUUUUGCUUCCAGAAUUUGCAUGUUUAUAUGGUAAUAUCUUGGUUCAAUGAUGGUAUAUAAUAAUUCUGUAAUAUAUCCUUUUCUUAACUAGUUAAAUUGGUUCUCUCCAGAAUAACCCGAAUUCUCUUUCGAAAUCCUUUUUUUUAGUAUGUAUUUAUAACUGGUAUAAUUAUAGCAUCAAUUUGUUAUCCAUUUCCUUCCUGUUUGUAAAAGAAAAAAAGAAAAGAAAAGAAGCAAGGAAUAACGUACCCAGUGAAUCUUGGAACGAAAGCUAAUUGCCGUGUAAGGAAUUUAUCUUCUGAAAUCCAUCGAGAAUUUUGGAUUCUAAGGUCCCAGUUGGAUUGUAAUUUUUUUGGAAUUUUUAUAAAAAGAACUUACUAGAACACGUGAUAUAUGUCAGUCACAUAAUGAGGUAAUUAAAAAAAAAUGUAUAAACACAAUAUUCCUAAAAUUUUAUCACAAAAAUUCACAUUCCAAACAAGCCCUAAAAUAUUCUAGUCAGUAGUUGAUGAAUGAUGUAAAGUACUACCUUACCUAAGGGUCUGUUUGGUUGGAAGUAAAAUAUUUUCCUUGGGAAAAUAUUUUCCGUGGAAGUAAUUUUCCAUGAAAAUCAUUUUCCUUUUAUCAUUUUCAGGUGUUUGGUUAGUUUAUUGAAAAUAUUUUCUUACUUCAUUUUUCUGGUGUUUGUUUAACUUUUGAAAUAUUUUCACUUUUAUCUCUAUUUUUACUUUCUACACAUUAUAACUAUAUACUUCUUCCCAUGCAAAAUAAGAAAAUUUAUCUCAUUGUUUAACUUUAAAAAAUCUUGAAGAAAUAUAUAUAUAUAUAUAUAUGAAUAAAAAAUAUUUCCUUAAACAAUAAACAAAUUGCUGGCCAUUUAGUGUCAAAUAUCACUCACACGCAAUGCUUAUUAUGACAUAUAUCUUACACUUUCACUGCUGAAAGUUUCUCUAGAAAAGAAUGUCCCUAUUAUAUAUAAUUAAUUACUAGCAUAGGAUGAGCAGGAUGAGGUUUUUUUUUUUAUUUUGAAUAUAUUAGGGGAAGGGUUGGGUUGGGUUGAGUGGUACGGGGGAAGGAGUGUAAGGAAGAGGUUUUGGGUUCGAGUCCUCCUGUUUACACUAAAAAAAAAAAAGAACAUACUACAAGAUGUUUUCAGUAAGUUUGGAACAUACUAUAGGCGAGAUGCAUGCAUUUCGAAAAACAAUUUCAGUAAGUUUGGAAGGGAAGUUGUUUUCCAUAAGAUGAGUGAAAAUAUUUUACAUAAGAAAAUGUUUUCAGUAACUUUUGUGCAACCAAACACGGGAAAUUAGGAAAAUAUUUUCCUGGAAAACAUUUUCACCCGAAACAAACGGACCCUAAAUUUGCAAACUUCUAGAUUUAAAUUUGAUUAUUACCCAACCUAAUUUUAUUUACUGAAUCUUCAAAAAGGUGCUUUUUGUGUAUGAAACCGUAAUAUGCUGAGAAGUUCAAUAUUUUGUGAAUUUUGUAUACUUAUUAAAACUGGCGUGCUUUUGUACUAAUUGCUAGUGACAUUAAUUUGCGAGCAAGGACGAAUACUACAAGGUAUUAUGACCAAUCUCUUCAAAUUGACAGUGGCACUGGCAGCAUAGCUAGGUAUCUUUUUUAUGUCGUCGUGCUUAAUAUUUUUGCUACUUCUUGUUUUGAUAGAAGAAGAAAUUAUCAGAGAUUACUUGUUAAUAGUUUGUUAUUUGAAGAAUUGGAUAAAUAUUAAUCCGUUUGUCUUUUUUUUUUUUUUUUUGUCAUCAAUUUCUACUGAUAUCUUGCGCCUUUUGUUCAAAUCUUUCGCUUUAUUUGUUACCGUGUAAAUGUAUAAAAAAAAAAAAAAAAAUUCUAAAGCACUUUUUCACUAAACUGGGACACAAAGCUCUGUGGAUUUACUUAAUAUACACUGUUAGGAGUUAGCAGAGGAAAAUGUUCAUAACUACUCCAAGAUAAGGUGCAUCUGCUAGAAUAAAGGGCGAGAUUAUGAAUCAAGGACAUUCCUCCCUCCAAGAUUCAUCUUCAUUCGUAGUAUUGCAUGCCAUGCAAUUCGUGAUUUACUACGUUGCCUGAAGAACAUUACUUAGUUAUUAAAGUAGAAGGAUAAACAAGAUUGCAAAAAUCUGCUUCACGCAUGUUGAGAGUCAUUAAUUCGACCCACGUCUCAACUUCCAUUCAUACAGCAUUAGCUCUCUGUUCUCCGAUUCUUGGUUCUACAUAUAUAUCAUGGUCAAUUUCACAAGCAAACAAUCCUAAUAUGCGCAAUAACUAGUAUAUAUAUAUUCUUGUGCACAUGUCAUAUCUUCAGAAUUGAAAUUUCUCCGUACUUUUUGAGAUUUAUGUGAUAUAAAGUUAUCGAUCCUUAUGCUUUAGUGGUACCUGAAUUGUUUCCUUUGGGAAUUGAACCCAAAGGAGUAUCAGUUGUGACUGAUUAAAAUUAGUUUGUUAGAUCAUUCCAAGUAGGAGAAAUGCACAGGAUGCAUUUGAGGGCUCAAACUAUGGCAUCCCCAAGAAUGUUCCUUGCUGUUGGCAUGAUGAUGAUGAUGGUCAUUAUGCAUAGCCCAAUGGUGAUUGUUGGAGACAAAAUAGGCAUAGGCGUUUGUUAUGGAAUGGUAGCCAACAAUCUACCUUCUGCUACCGAUGUGAUUAGCCUUUACAAGAAAUAUAACAUCGGCAAACUAAGGCUAUUUGAUCCAAAUCCUGACGCUCUAGAAGCAUUGAAGGGCAGUGGAAUUGACGUCGCAUUAGGCGCAAAGAAUGAAGAUAUACCGAGCAUAGCCACAAGUACUGAGGGAGCAGAAUCGUGGUUUACAACAAAUGUGCUGCCUUAUCUGAGUAACAUUACAUUUUCAUUCAUUUCUGUUGGAAAUGAAGCAAUCCCAGGAGAGUUUGCCAACGAUGUCGCCCCUGCCAUGAGUAAUCUUCAGGCUGUUCUGAAUGACCACAAUCUAAAUGGUAUUACCGUGACCACCGCGGUCGCUACGAUGGUGUUGGGAGUUUCCUAUCCUCCUUCAGCCGGUCAAUUCUCACCUGAGACAAAGGGUGCACUGGCAGAUGUGUUGAGCUUUCUAUCAAUCAAAGGGUCUCCAUUGAUGGCCAAUGUGUACCCUUACUUCGCCUAUGCAUCGGAUCCAGACCAAGUUCGCCUAGAUUAUGCUCUUUUCACUGCAAAAGAUCCAGUGGUUGUUGAUGGAAAUCUGAGUUAUCAUAACUUAUUUGAUGCUACGGUAGAUUCAUUUUAUUGGGCAAUGGAGAAACAGGGUGUAAAUAACGUAGGAGUGGCAGUUUCUGAGAGCGGAUGGCCUUCUGCUGGGAAUGGAGGUUUCACAACCCCAGAACUUGCAUCUACAUACAACAGGAACUUUAUGCAGCAUGUGUUGAAUAUGGGUGGCACACCUAAGAGGCCUGGGGCAUAUAUUGAAGGGUUUAUCUUUGCCAUGUUUAAUGAAAAUCAAAAGCCUUCUGGUAUAGAGCAAAAUUGGGGACUUUUUUAUCCUAACAUGCAACCUGUAUAUGCAGUGUUUUGACACAAUUUGAAAUGCCUAUCUUGCACUUAGGUCAAAGAGUUCCAUACAAAAAGGAACUGCAAAAAAGAAAGAGUUAUUCUGGAUAUUGGAAUGGAUGCACAACAUUUUUUUUCUUGUUAAAUUUGGGUUCAAUAAUCAACGACUCUAUAUUUUAAAUUUCUAUUGUAUCUUAAUUCAAGGCACUAAAAAAUGUGAAAUUUCACAAGCUCUUUAGUCCAUGAUACUUCAAGAACAACACAUAAAGGAUAACUGAAACUUGCUCCUUUUUGUGAACUAUUUAGUUUUUAAAACUAAUUAUUGCAUUCUUAGGUACAUAGUAAAAGCCAGAGUAAUCCAUGUACUUACCAUGCAACACACAGAUUUGAUAAAAAAAAAAAACACUGACUUCUCUGAAAUACAUGCAAAGCUACCUUUCUCGUUGUAUAUAUGAAAAAGGAUUUUUUUUUUUUUUUUCUCAACGGAUCUGCUGGAUGAUAGUUGGUACAAGCAAUGAAUACUGGUACAGAAGGUACCAGGUGUUAAAAUGAGUACGUUGGCUAUAAAUAAAUAAAGUUUAACAACCAAUGCUCGUUGGUGUCGUUGAAUAUAUCUUUUAUUAUGGUACAAUAGCUUUCUUGUAUAAUUGAGAGCUAGCAAUAGAACUUUCUAUUCUGCUUCCUCCAACCUAUUAAUCUUAAUGAUUUAUGCUAACUUCACAAAAUUUUUCGUGCUAGUGCAUGGCACAUACAUCUAGUAUUCGAUAAGAUUUGGGAAUCUUGUCACACUAAUCUUUUAUAGCAAGUAAUACGCUUACUGUUUAUUUUACAGCCUUUACUUGCAUGCGAGGCACAAGUCUUAAAUCAUAUAUAGGGCUUGUUUUUUAUGAUUAUAAAUUUUGAUUAUAAUCCCUUUUUGUGAUAUUUUUUUAUUAAUUUUGUAUUUUGAUUAUAAAUUUUUUUAAUGACCAAAAAAGAUAAUAUCUAUAAUCACCCAAAAAAAAUGUUUUUACUGAUUUUGAUUAUCUUCAUAAGUAAUUUUUAUAAUUAGACUUUAGAAAAUUUAAAGCAACUGAGAACAAGGCCAUAGUUGGUCCCUCUAUCCGCCCCCGGUAGUAAGGGUGUAUUCGAGUCAAGUCGAGUUCAAGUAUAGCAAUAUAAUUAUACUCGAGCUCGAGUUUGAUCUCGAUCGAGUCAGAAAAUCUCAACUCGAGCUUGACUCGAGGAAAUCCUUAAAAGUUCGAGACUCGAUUGGACAAGGUUCGACCUUGAGUCGGGUCGAGUCUUAUCGAGUCAAGUAAACUGAUCAAUCGAGUUUUUUGAUCAAUCUUGUAAAUUCAUUAUAAAUUGUACCCAUAACGGUCAUUUUAUAAUUAUAAUACAUAUAUAUUAUUUUAAUUAUACUACUCGAUGAGCAGCUCGUCAAGCCCCGAGCUGCAAAAAUCCGGGCUUGAACUCGACUUGAAUAUAUACUCGAAUAACUCAAGACUCUGCUCGAAUUCGAUUUGACCGAGUUCAAGUCAAGUUAUUAGCCGAGUUGCUCGCAAGCUACAUGCAUCCCUAGCCGGUAGUGCUCUCUUCAACAAACUUAUAUGUGCUUAAGGAAAAUCUAGGCAUUGAGGCAAUUGAUUACAGGUCAGCAAACAAAAGUAAAUUACUUGUCCAAUUAUAACUGAUAGAAAAAAACAAUCAAUACCAUCGUUUAACUUCAUUCUACUCAAUUAUUUCUAUAGUCUCGAGAAGUUAGGAGAAAUUUUUUAUUUGCCUCUCUGAGCUAAGCACGCCUAUCAUGUAUUUCAAAACAUGACACGUAUUCCAAAACAUGGAAAUAAUCGGUACCUAAAGCAUUGGUUUUCUUUUAAAUUUUUUUUUAACGCAUGAUCAGCAACAGGGGCAUAAGCCAAUCUAAUCAAGUCGAUUACCUUAAUAUUUAAAUUUAUAUGAUUAUUUUAACAAUUUUGAAAUUAUGUUCUAGUUUAGUUUGUUGAUUUAUGAAGUUGAAUUCUAAUGAACUUUUAUUGAGUCUAGAUCUAGAUGAGGUCGAGUUUUAAUUUAAUUUUGAUCAAACCGAGUUUGAACCAAGUUUGAAACUUUAUUUAAUAGAAAAAUAUUAUUCAGGCUUGGCUGAUGAACUAUAAGUUCUCUUAACAAAUCUAAUUCAAUUGGAGUAUCAAAUGACACAGUCGGUUUUUUCCCCUUAACCAGAAAAGAUGCUAAUUGUUAAAAGAUAAAAGCAAAAAAAAAAAAAAAAAGGAUUGAAAUUCCUACUUCCCCUGCAGCGGAGGCUGAUAACCUGGCGGUGCAGGUUUUUUCAUAUUUCCGACGAAAAAUGUUUGUCGGUCAUUGACUCACAAUGACCUAAAAUGGAGGUUUCAAACAUGUCCAUUAAUGAUUUCCGUCUUUGUUCAUUUAUACUACAUGAUAUAGAUCUCCAUUCAGCUUACCAUUUUACAAAAUUUUGAAUAAAUGGAAUCUUAUUCUUUAUUAGUUUCAAAAUCUUGCUCUUUAUGGAGGUUUCAACUGGAGGUGGUAAAAUGGUUAAUUGGAAUAAAUCCUAAGUAGUUCAUGAAUUCAAUAGAUCCAAUCUGCUUCGGACUCAAGACGGAUUAAAAUAUAAAUUUGCUAUUUUUUUUAUUCGAUCAAAAAUAAAAUAAAAUAAAAUGGAGAUAUGAAAAUUUUAUGAGAAUUCCUUCUAGAUAAUAGACGUCUAUGUAAGGUUUCUGCUCAAGAGUUUACAGAUACUCAUAAUUAAUUGUUAUAAUUGAAAUGGAGUCACCCCAAUUAGUAGAUGGAUGUUAACGAUUUGGAAUUUAAUGGGUAUUGAUUACCCGUUAAAUCCAUUUAAUUUGAUACUUUCAACCCCUUUGAUAUGAUAUAAUACUAUCCUAGCCUCCCCCGCUGGCUGCUGCAGCCCAUUGUUUUCGCUUUCCAAUUUUUUCUUUUUAAAACACAUCAGCUAUUCCUUUUCUCUUUCUUUUUUUUUUGUUUUUUUAAAUUUUUUCCCUUGUAAAAUAAAUGAAUAUUACACUACUCUUAUAGUCUUGUAGUAUUUUAACAAUUUCAUUUUUUAGAGGGAGGGAUGGGUUGGGUGGUUUGGAAGGGGAGAAUAUAAAUGAGAGGUCUGAGGGUACAUUAAAAAAAAAAAAAAAAACCUACUUUUGAAUUUCUUGACCCGUAAAUUCUAGUUUCAUUUCAAUUGUAUUUUUCAGAUGUGGCUCUUGAGAAAAUAAUAGUUGUGUAAUUCUUAUUGAUGUAACGUGGCAUAGAAGAAAAACGUAAUUAAAAUAAUAAAACAUUAAUUGAAAAUUAUAUUCUAAAUAUAGAUUGGACACUUAAGACAUGCGAUGUUUUUCUAAAAGAUCUCGUAUUUACUUCUCCUUUUACUUCUUCUUUUGGGGUUUGGAGUCUAAAUUUGGUGUAUACUUUGUCAUUUAAACUUUCUCUCAGACAAUAUAUAUGUUCGUUCCUCUAAUGUUAUAUUUCUAGUUUUUUAACAACGCCGCUUUUGUCUUUUUUGGCUCGAAAAAUUCCUGUUUCAUUUCAAUUGCAUAUUUUAGAAGCAAGUUUAGGAAAAUAGUACUGGAAUUCUCUCAAGUUAACGUACAAAUAACUUAUAGGAAGAGAGUGUCUACUGUCUACGUCUCCUUUUCCUUUUCCUUUUCUUUUUAUAUGGGAACCUGAAUUUGGGAGAGAAUUACUUUGUCUUUUAAGCGUAUCUAUUUAUUUUUUAGUUGUUUUUCAAAAAAGUUAAUUUGGAAUUUGAACUAAUUUUGUGGACGUGGUUAAAUUACCAUACAAUAGUGGUUUCUGUCAACUACCUAGUCAAUUUUGAAAUGGGUGAUGUUUAUGUAACCCAAACCAAAAAAAAAAAAAAAAAAAAACCCCAAACAGAGUCGUAAAUUUUUUUCAUUAAAGGAUGUUAAUGGAUUAUUCACUAAAAACCAGGAUAGUCAUUAGCUUCCGUUUAAGGUUUUGGAUAAAUCCAUAGCCAAUUAAGGCACCGCUGGGACUGAUGGAAAGAGAAGGAAAGUAAAGAAGACAGCUGCAGUGAAAAAGAAAACAAAGGAAAUCAGAAUCCAUUCAUCUUUUUUGGAUUAUGAAAGUAAAGAAAAGUAAGCUAUCACGAGUUAGUUACAUUUUCAUCCCUAAUUUAAAAGUCAAUUUAUCAAUGCAUAAAAAAAAUUUAGAAAAUUUCACAAUUUGCAUUAAUUUUGGUAUCUUUCCUUCGUUUACGCCCACUUUUGGACAGCAACCAAGCCGACAAAAAAUAACUAAAUCUUAUUCUUUCCUUUCCAUUUUUUAAAAAACCAAUUCAAAUAUAAAAAACCUUAUUCCACCAUUUCAUUUCUUUUCCUUUCCCUCCUAUUCCCUCGAAACAAACUGAGCCUAAGUGAGAUGGAUACGAAUUAAUGGUUUAAUGGAUUUGGAUCAAAAUUGCCACCUCUUUUUUAAAUAUUUCCAUCAAUGAUUUCCGUCUUUAUUCAUUUAUAGAUGAUAACAGGUCUCCAUUCAGCUUACCAUUUUACAAAAUUUUGAAUAAAUAGAAUCUUAAUCUUUUUAUUAUAUCAGGGAGCGAUUUCCACCAGGUGUGAAAAACAAGAACCCAUAUGCGGCUUGGUUUGCAUUCGUGGCCACUGACCAUAAAUUUUUAUGACCCCCCCCAAAACACCAAACUUAACAAGAAGGUUUGAAUGAUUAUAUAUAUUGCAUAGGCUUGUUCAUUCGAAGCUAUGCCAGUUCCAGGGGCCGAGACAAUUCUGCAGAAACAGCCUGCAAAUUGCAGUGCCCCUCCAGCGCUUGAACGUUGUUAUCUAUAGCUACCAGCCAAAGCAUUAUUAAUUACUGGAGUGGAGACAAUUGUACAAAACCAAAGUUAUCUUCAUAGCUUGUGAGCAUAUGGGCUGCUAAUUAUGGCUGUCGUUACCAAACUUAUAGCUGAUUAAUUUGCCUGUAAGUCCAUGGUUUUACAUGUAUAUGUCCUUCAGGUUACCGUACCAUCAACAUUUUCGUAACUCUAUCAUCGUAGUCCUUUCCUCUCUUUUGUUAUUUUUUCUUUCAGAGGUAAAUAGUUGAUCAUAUGUGGUAAACCCACCCACAAAAAAAAAAAUAAAAAUAAAAAGCCAUUUUCUAAUUAAUAUUCGUUUCGUGUUUAUAAUUUCUCAUUACACCAAUUUCCCCAUUGCCGUUAAGCUUUGGAGUUAUUACUAAUGCUAUGAUACUAUUUGUAAAUGUAAUCCUGUUCUCUAAAUAGAUAGGUUUAUCUUUUUUGCCAAUCAUUAGUUUCAUGCACCAAAGGGCAUAAACAAAUGUCUGUAUAACAUACGUAGAUCCUCUUUUUUUUUUUUUUUGGGGGGGGGGGGAUGGAGGGGGUAAAUUGAGAAAUGCAGUCACCAUUACAAAUGAAAUUUUAAUUGGUGCUUCUGACUAUGAUUUCGUUUUUGUGAUUUAACAAUAUUGCUGUAUAUUACCAGUCACUAAUUGAUGUAUCUAAUUUUUCAGAUAUCAUUCUACUUAGGUAAGACAAGCAAAAUAUGCAUGUAACGGUUCAAAUGAAGUCAUUCUUGCUGAUUAUAUUUCCCAUGGUUCUUGCAAUCACAACUAUGCUGCUCCCAAUAGCCAUUGCUGGUGACAAAAUUGAUAUAGGCGUUUGUUAUGGAAUGGUAGCGGACAACUUACCUCCUGCCGCAGAAGUCAUUGCCCUUUACAAGAAGUAUAGCAUUGGCAAACUGAGGCUUUUUGAUCCAAAUCGAGAUGCCCUACGAGCACUAAAGGGCAGUGAUAUUGAUGUCACAUUAGGCGUAAAAAAUGAAGAUAUACCAAACAUAGCAGCAAGCGUUGACGGCGCAAGAUCAUGGUUUACGACAAAUCUACAGCCUUAUACUAAUGACAUUACAUUCGCAUUCGUUUCUGUGGGAAAUGAGGCCAUCCCAGGUGAGUUCGCAGACAGUAUUGCACCAGCCAUGAAAAAUCUUCAGUCUGUCUUAAGCGAUGACAACCUUAAUGGUGUAACCGUGACAACAUCAGUGUCAACAGCUGUGCUAGGAACUUCCUUUCCGCCUUCAGCCAGCGUAUUCUCAGAUGAUGCAAAGGGUGCAAUUGUCGAUGUUCUGAACUUUUUAACCAUCAAGGGAUCACCUCUGAUGGUGAAUGUGUACCCUUACUUCGCCUAUGCAUCCGAUCCAGUGCAUGUUCGUCAAGAUUAUGCACUCUUCACCGCAACAGAUGCGGUGGUUGUGGAUGGUAAUUUGACUUAUCAUAACUUGUUUGAUGCUAUGGUAGAUGCAGUGUACUGGGCAAUGGAGAAAGAAGGCGUGCAUAAUCAUAAUGUGGGAGUGGCAGUUUCUGAGAGUGGAUGGCCUUCUGCCGGGAAGGGGAAUUUCACAACUCCAAAACUUGCGUCUACGUACAACAAGCACUUCAAGCAGCAUAUCUUGAGCAAGGCUGGUACACCUAAAAGGCCAGGGGCUCACAUUGAAGGCUUCAUUUUUGCCAUGUUUAAUGAAGAUCUCAAGCCUGCUGGAGUAGAACAAAAUUGGGGACUUUUCUAUCCUAACAAGAAACCUGUUUAUCCAGUGUUUUGACACAAAGUCCAAAUGCAUGUAUUCAUUUGGACUUUUGACACAAGUGCUUACUAUUAUUCUGUCGGCAUCUUGAUCUUAAUACAUGUUGGAGUAUAUUGAACAAAUAGAACCAAAACAAGAUAUAAUUCGUUUUCUGUUGAUUAAUUAGCCGAUCAAGAGAAUUACCUUAACGGAAGAGGCUCCUGAUGAUCUUGCAAAAGUAGUGAGCUUCUUGCAAGCUCGAAAAAUCUGCUCUCAUGGUCAACGUGUCUGUACCCUUACUUCGACCAUGCAGCCGAUCGAUCCCAUCAACACUCGUCACUCGAUUUUGCACAGUUCACGGCCAAUGAACCAGUGCUUCUGGGCAGUGGAAAUUUGAAUUAUACGAAAUUGUACGAUGCAACUCUGGUUGCAUUUUUGUGGGCAGUGGAAAGAGCGAGAUUUCGGAAUCUUCAAAACUAAUUUGGAACCAGCGUAUCUUUUAAUUAAGGAAAACAAACACUUUGAAAAGGAAAAGGAUUGUAAACAAAUUAUAAAAAGAAGAAAAAAAAAUGUUUCUAAGCUUGAUAUGUAAAGCCAAAACAGGGCUUCGAUUAUUUAUUUGGGGGAGGGGGGAUGAGAAUCACAAGUUAAAGUUUAUCUAGUUAAGAUCUGCUUGCGUAAUUCGUAUUCCAAUUGGGGUAAACUUAUAUAAUUUUGAUGCAAUUGCUAAUGUAGUUUAUGAGUCAUAAGAAUUUAGGGUCUGUUUGGUUGGAAGUAAAAUAUUUUCCUUGGGAAAAUAUUUUCCGUGGAAGUAAUUUUCCAUGAAAAUCAUUUCCCUUUCAUCAUUUUCAGGUGUUUGGUUAGUUUAUUGAAAAUAUUUUCUUACUUCAUUUUUCUGGUGUUUGUUUAACUUUUGAAAUAUUUUCACUUUUAUCUCUAUCUUUACUUUUUACACAUUAUAACUACAUACUUCUUUCCAUGCAAAAUAAGAAAAUUUAUCUCAUUGUUUAACUUUAAAAAAUCUUGGAGAAAUGUAUAUAUGAAUAAAAAAUAUCUCCUUAAACAAUAAACAAAUUGCUGGUCAUUUAGUGUCAAAUAUCAAUCACAUGCAAUGCUUAUUGUGACAUAUAUCUUGCACUCUCACUGUUGAAAGUUUCUUUAGAAAAGAAUGUCCCUAUUAUACAUAAUUAAUUACUAGCAUAGGAUGAACAGGAUGAGGUUUUUUUUUUAUUUUGAAUAUAAUAGGGGGAGGGUUGGGUUGGGUUGGGUGGUACGGGGGAGGGAGUGUAAGGAAGAGGUCUUGGAUUCGAGUCCUCCUGUUUACACUAAAAAAAAAAAAAAAGAACAUACUACAAGAUGUUUUCAGUAAGUUUGGAACAUACUACAGGUGGAAUGCAUGCAUUUCGGAAAACAACUUCAGUAAGUUUGGAAGGGAAGUUGUUUUCCAUAAGAUGAGUGAAAAUAUUUUACAUAGGAAAAUGUUUUCAGUAACUUUUGUGCAACCAAACACGGAAAAUUAGGAAAAUAUUUUCUUGGAAAAUAUUUUCACCCGAAACAAACGGACCCUUAUUCCUAGAGUUCUAAGAAUUAUGGUAACUAGGUAGAACUAUGACAAAACUCAAACUUGUGAAAGUCCAUGACUAAAAGGGAGAGAAAUGAAAUUAAAUAACUAGGCUGCAGAUUUGGAAUAACAUCCAAGAGGCCUGGGCCAAUUGAUUUGAGAUAGAGGCUUUUGUUUUUGCUCUGCUUGAUGAAAAGCUUGAUCCUAAUAAGGAUGGUAGACUAGACGAAACUUCUGCAUCUUCAAUGGCACUGCCUCAGAGCCUGCUUGUCCAUUGUUUACUGCUACUGGAAAUAAUCAUUUCCAAGCUGCACAGAGAGUAGGAAGGGAAAGGAAUAGAAGGGUGGUGCAGUCAUGAUCACAAAUCCUAAGUUGAAUGCAAUAAUUAAUUUUAAAAAAAUUCUAUGAACUCUCUCCCUCUCCGCCAAAAGCAAUGGGGUCAAUCGUCUUCUGUACGUUUUGGGACUAGUUCAGAAUAUAUUGAGAUCUCUCCCCGUCAACAUGAUGUAUGGAUAAUAAAAUUCAAAGAACACACUGGAAACUUCCAUUAUAAAAGCAGAUGAGACGACGUUAAACAAAACCAGUCAAGUUGAAGGCAUAAACCUAUCAAGUCCUCAACCAUAAUAGAACAACAUGCAAAUUACAGACGUGAUUGUGGUACAUUGCCACUGGUACCAUUGCUUAGAAAAGGGUAAUCUGUGUAUCCUACAACAGGAUCAUGAGUAUAGAAGGUAGAUCUAUUAUACCUAAUCAAAGGAGCAUUUAGCUUAAAGCGUAAAACUAAGUCUGG
rnacentral:lncRNA from 1 species